UUUCACAAAAAACUUAAUCUAACCCAUAUUCACAAUUGUGGUACAAAUAAACUUGUGAGAAAACUCCAUUUUACAGUCAUUUUGAGCUAGAUUACAGAUUUCGUUUUUUCUUUCACACACUAAAGCCUCAUUUUAUACGAAGGUGUCCAUACAAAAUUCCAAAAAAGAACACAGAAUAUAGAACAUGAACACAGUGUCCAAGGAACCGAGUCUUCAUUAAUUAUAAAGAACACUAAUUAGUUACCUGUCUUUGUCUACAGCUGAAGGGAACAUGAAAAAGCACUACAAAGACUAAAGAAGUAAUCAGAAGUUUGGCAGUGUGAGCACUGUCCAAGACUGAUUUCUUCAGCACAUUCUCCACACAACAAUCUAAAAUGACUCUCAUGUGAGAUUGGCAUGUCCUGUGAACCAAGGUAAUCCUACUUGAGGACACUGUUUUGCAUCUGGGAUGAGAACAAUAGGUCCCAGAAAGAUGCGCCACAAAUCAAGUAUUAUUGUGACCAGCAUUGCAGCACCUAAAGCAUCAACAGCCACUCUAGGCAAGUCCCACUUGUCACCAGGUUUCUCAUCUAUCCUGCGUAUUUACAAGAUUUAUCAUCAAUGAAAUCAGUACAACAUACACAUAUUCCACCUUUAUGUAGUAGCGUAUGCAACAACUACUUUUUAGAGAAGCAAAGAGGUACAUAUUCAAAACAAUUUCAAACGAGGAAUGAGGUACAUGGAAUUCAUGCUAGACAACCUCAAUUCCUGAACAACCAGUGAUUGGGGCCACUUCCGAUUAGGGCAACUAUUUUUCUAAGAAACAUAUUUCUAAUAUUUCCCAUCUCUUUUCUUUGUCUUGUUUCCAUUUUUUUUGGUCGUAUUUCCCAUUGCCCCUUAGGAACUUGAUGAUCUGACAUCUGAAUAUUUGGUUAAAAUGAGUUGUCCUUCACAACUUUAAUGAAGUUUUGUCCCCUGUCACCAUUGUUGCUAAGGAAAAAAGGCAAUCAAAAUCUCAAAUUGUUGGCCUUGCAUGGGUUACAAGCAAAGUAGUUAAAAUCGAUAUUAUGGUUGGGAUUGUGAAGGACUCAAGUUUGUAAAUUGUGGGAUCCUAACAUGGAUUGUAGA
rnacentral:sRNA from 1 species